rnacentral:rRNA from 1 species
GACGAACGCUGGCGGCGUGCCUAACACAUGCAAGUCGAGCGGGGAUUUGGGGAGGCUUGCUUCCUGGAUUCUAGCGGCGGACGGGUGAGUAACGCGUGAGCAAACCUGCCUUUCACAGGGGGAUAACGCAUCGAAAGAUGUGCUAAUACCGCGUAAGACCACGGUGUCGCAUGACACAGGGGUCAAAGGAGCAAUCCGGUGGAAGAUGGGCUCGCGUCCGAUUAGCUAGUUGGUGAGAUAACAGCCCACCAAGGCGACGAUCGGUAGCCGACCUGAGAGGGUGAUCGGCCACAUUGGAACUGAGAGACGGUCCAGACUCCUACGGGAGGCAGCAGU